rnacentral:rRNA from 1 species
UACCCGCAGCACAAGUGGUGGUCAUUAUUAUUGGGCCUAAAGCGUCCGUAGCUGGCUUGUUAGAUGCCUGGGUAAAUCGAUGCGCUUAACGUAUCGAAUUCCGGGUAGACCGGCAAGCUCGAGACCGGGAGAGGUGUAGGGUACUCGGGGGGUAGGGGUAAAAUCCGUGUAAUCCUCCGGGGACGACCAGUGGCGAAGGCGCUACACUAGAACGGCUCUGACAGUGAGGGACGAAGCCCUGGGGCGCAAACCGG